AUUAACGCUAGCGGCAGGCAUAAUACAUGCAAGUUGAACGGCAGCACAGGUAGCAAUACUGGGUGGCGAGUGGCGCACGGGUGCGUAACACGUAUGCAACCUACCCUAUACAGGCGAAUAACCUUUAGAAAUGAGGGCUAAUACGCCGUAGUAUUACAGAUGGGCAUCUAUUUGUAAUUAAAGAUUUAUCGGUAUAGGAUGGGCAUGCGUCCCAUUAGUUAGUUGGUAAGGUAACGGCUUACCAAGACGAUGA
rnacentral:rRNA from 1 species